rnacentral:rRNA from 1 species
UGAGGAAUAUUCCGCAAUGGACGAAAGUCUGACAGAGCAAUACCGCGUGAAGGAUGAAGGCCUCCGGGUUGUAAACUUCUUUUCUCAAGGAGGAAGAACUGACGUUACUUGAGGAAUAAGCAUCGGCUAACCCUGUGCCAGCAGCCGCGGUAAUACAGGGGAUGCAAGUGUUAUCCGGAUUCAUUGGGCGUAAAGCGUCGGUAGGUGGCGAGAUAAGUCUGUUGUUAAAUCUUUGGGCUUAACCCAAAA